CCUACGGGGGGCUGCAGUGGGGAAUAUUGGACAAUGGGGGGAACCCUGAUCCAGCCAUGCCGCGUGUGUGAAGAAGGCCCUCGGGUUGUAAAGCACUUUCAGUGAGGAAGAACGCCUGGUGGUUAAUACCCAUCAGGAAAGACAUCACUCACAGAAGAAGCACCGGCUAACUCCGUGCCAGCAGCCGCGGUAAUACGGAGGGUGCGAGCGUUAAUCGGAAUUACUGGGCGUAAAGCGCGCGUAGGUGGCUUGAUAAGCCGGUUGUGAAAGCCCCGGGCUCAACCUGGGAACGGCAGCCGGAACUGGCAAGCUAGAGGGCAGGAGAGGAAGAUGGAAUUGCCGGUGGAGCGGUGAAAUGCGUAGAGAUCGGCAGGAAUACCGGUGGUGAAGGCGGCCUUCUGGACUGGCCCUGACACUGAGGCGCGAAAGCGUGGGUAGCAAACAGGAUUAGAUACCCCAGUAGUC
rnacentral:rRNA from 1 species